rnacentral:rRNA from 1 species
CCUACGGGUGGCAGCAGUGAGGAAUAUUGGUCAAUGGACGAGAGUCUGAACCAGCCAAGUAGCGUGAAGGAUGACUGCCCUAUGGGUUGUAAACUUCUUUUAUAUGGGAAUAAAACGUUCCACGUGUGGGAUUUUGUAUGUACCAUAUGAAUAAGGAUCGGCUAACUCCGUGCCAGCAGCCGCGGUAAUACGGAGGGUCCGAGCGUUAUCCGGAUUUAUUGGGUUUAAAGGGAGCGUAGGUGGAUUGUUAAGUCAGUUGUGAAAGUUUGCGGCUCAACCGUAAAAUUGCAGUUGAAACUGGCAGUCUUGAGUACAGUAGAGGUGGGCGGAAGUCGUGGUGUAGCGGUGAAAUGCUUAGAUAUCACGAAGAACUCCGAUUGCGAAGGCAGUUCACUGGACUGCAACUGACACUGAGGCUCGAAAGUGUGGGUAUCAAACAGGAUUAGAUACCCCGGUAGUC